GGCAGAUACCAGCAAUAGCCGUUGUUCGAAUUUUCCCCCCCCGUAGAAGCAGACGCCAUUAUUGUGUCAAAGUCAGUUCAAUAAAUCAGUGAUAGAACCUGCCUAAGUUUAACCUUCAAAAGUAUUUAAUCGCAGUUUGUCACACACUACUCUAUGGGCAAUGCUCCCUAGGCAAAGACCAUAUACCUUCGAAGAGCACCAGAAGAUGAGAUACCUGUGGAAGAUCAGGAGGUUAGGAGAGUUCCACGCACAAGUCAAGUUUGGGGAACGACCUUAUCCACUACAACCUACACCUAGCAGGCCUUAUCAACCUCUACCACCUGGAGUGCACAUUGACGAGAAGCUGGCCUUCUAUGAAACUGGAUAUUAUAAUGUGGCCAUCAGAUAUCUGCCUCGCAAGGAUGCUGUAGCAAUCACCAAUCUGCAAGUUAAUGCAGACUAUGCCAAAUAUCUAGAAUCACUGAAGCCAGAAGACCAACGACAGCCAAUAGUUGUGGUAGAAGAGCAGCAACCACAGUCACAACCACAGUCAGAAUUCUAAGCAAGUGUGGCAAGAAGACAUCAUCAAGAAGUUUUAUGUUAACUAAGUUGAAUUUUAAUCUCAAGUCGUUAAAGGUGUGCGACUACGCAAAAAUACAGUCUUUUGUUUCUUCUUAAA